GGGUCAGUAGGUUGGUCGUGCCACCGGUACGUACUGGUCUCACUGAUCCCUCCUUCCUGAAGAACCGUAAUGCCAUUAAUUUGGUGUUGCGGGGAAACAGGACUGUUACUUUGAAAAAAUUAGAGUGUUUAAAGCAAGCUAACGCUUGAAUACAUUGGCAUGGAAUAAUGAAAUAGGACGAUCGAUCCUAUUUUGUUGGUUUCUAGGAUUGACGUA
rnacentral:rRNA from 1 species